rnacentral:rRNA from 1 species
GACGUAGGAGGCGAGCGUUGUCCGGAAUCAUUGGGCGUAAAGAGCGCGUAGGCGGCCCUGUAAGUCCGCUGUGAAAGUCAAGGGCUCAACCCUUGAAUGCCGGUGGAUACUGCAGGGCUAGAGUCCGGAAGAGGCGAGUGGAAUCCUGGUGUAGCGGUGAAAUGCGCAGAUAUCAGGAGGAACACCGAUGGCGAAGGCAGCUCGCUGGGACGGUACUGACGCUGGAGGCACGAAGCGUGGGAGCAA